UUUUUUUUUUUUGAGGAAAAUAUGGAAUUCAUAAAACAGCCAAAGCUUCAACUAACCAAGGGGGUGGAACAAACCUCCACUCACCCGAACCUGACAUAGAACCCCCCACCUGAGCCACAGUGUAGGCAGCGGAGUUCGCAGAUCUACGAACAAAAGAGAAAGCUACUUCUCCUAGAGAGCGAGUCAAGGCUCUACAAUCAUCAAUAAUUGAACCAAAACCAUUGGGAUAACUAGUCUUAUCAUUUAAAACAUUGAAAACUUGUAAACUAUCCAUCUCUAGAAUUACAUAAUGGAAAGCAAACUUCUUAAGCCAGCUAAGGGCUUCCCUAACUCCGAUCGCUUCAGCCUCUCUAGCUUCAA
rnacentral:lncRNA from 1 species